AUUUUAAUUCUUUGAGAUGGGACUAGGCAGAGUUUUGUGUUACUUUACUCUAGUAAUCUUCAUUCAAUAUUCCUGCAGUCAGACACUGAUCGAGUCUGAUCCAGUGAUCAUCAAACCUGAUCAAUCUCAUAAACUAAUCUGCACAGCAUCUGGAUUAGACAUUAGUAGCUACUGGAUGGCUUGGAUCAGACAGGCGCCUGGAAAAGGACUGGAAUUUGUUGCAAUUAUUGAGGGUGAUAGUGAUAGGAAGUUUUACUCCAGUACUGUUCAGGGCCGCUUCACCAUCUCCAGAGACAACAGUAAGAAGCAGGUGUAUCUGCAGAUGAACAACAUGAGGACAGAAGACACUGCAGUUUAUUACUGCGCCCGUGACACACAGUGAUACUUCCUCUUAUACAUC